UACGUAGGGGGCAAGCGUUGUCCGGAUUUAUUGGGCGUAAAGAGCGUGUAGGCGGCCAGGUAGGUCCGUUGUGAAAACUCGAGGCUCAACCUCGAGCUGUCGAUGGAAACCAUCUGGCUAGAGUCCGGAAGAGGAGAGUGGAAUUCCUGGUGUAGCGGUGGAAUGCGCAGAUAUCAGGAGGAACACAAAUGGCGAAGGCAGAUCUCUGGGCCGUAACUGACGCUGAGGAGCGAAAGCAUGGGGAGCGAACAGG
rnacentral:rRNA from 1 species